UCUUGAUGGUAAGGGCAUUUACGCAUAAGGUCCCUAAAAUGUUCCCAAGUAAUGAAAAAUUGUUCCCCAUUUAUCUGUGAGAAACUAGUGAUUGCCUUCCUCAGCUG